rnacentral:rRNA from 1 species
GAUGAACGCUGGCGGCGUGCCUAAUACAUGCAAGUCGAGCGAACAGACGAGGAGCUUGCUCCUCUGACGUUAGCGGCGGACGGGUGAGUAACACGUGGAUAACCUACCUAUAAGACUGGGAUAACUUCGGGAAACCGGAGCUAAUACCGGAUAAUAUAUUGAACCGCAUGGUUCAAUAGUGAAAGACGGUUUUGCUGUCACUUAUAGAUGGAUCCGCGCCGCAUUAGCUAGUUGGUAAGGUAACGGCUUACCAAGGCAACGAUGCGUAGCCGACCUGAGAGGGUGAUCGGCCACACUGGAACUGAGACACGGUCCAGACUCCUACGGGAGGCAGCAGUAGGGAAUCUUCCGCAAAGGGCGAAAGCCUGACGGAGCAACGCCGCGUGAGUGAUGAAGGUCUUCGGAUCGUAAAACUCUGUUAUUAGGGAAGAACAAAUGUGUAAGUAACGAUGCACGUCUUGACGGUACCUAAUCAGAAAGCCACGGCUAACUACGUG